AAUGAACGUUGGCGGCGUGGAUUAGGCAUGCAAGUCGUGCGAUAACCCCGCAAGGGGGGAAAGCGGCGAAAGGGAGAGUAACGCGUGGGUACCUACCCCUUGGUCCGGAAUAGCUGCGGGAAACUGCAGGUAAUGCCGGAUAAUAUCCUCGGAUCAAAGGUGUGAUUCCGCCGAGGGAGGGGCCCGCGUUCUAUUAGCUAGUUGGUAGGGUAAUGGCCUACCAAGGCGACGAUGGAUACCGGGUGUGAGAGCAUGACCCGGCUCACUGGGACUGAGACGCUGCCCAGACACCUACGGGUGGCUGCAGUCGAGAAUCUUCGGCAAUGGGCGCAAGCCUGACCGAGCGACGCCGCGUGCGGGAUGAAGGCCUUCGGGUUGUAAACCGCUGUCGUAGAGGAGGAAAUGCCAUGGGGUUCUCUCCAUGGUUUGACCUAUUCUAGGAGGAAGGACGGGCUAAGUUCGUGCCAGCCGCCGCAGUAA
rnacentral:rRNA from 1 species